rnacentral:rRNA from 1 species
CCUACGGGCGGCUGCAGUCAAGAAUCAUUCACAAUGGGGGAAACCCUGAUGGUGCGACGCCGCGUGGGGGAAUGAAGUUCUUCGGAUUGUAAACCCCUGUCAUGUGGGAGCAAAUUAAAAAGAUAGUACCACAAGAGGAAGAGACGGCUAACUCUGUGCCAGCAGCCGCGGUAAUACAGAGGUCUCAAGCGUUGUUCGGAAUCACUGGGCGUAAAGCGUGCGUAGGCUGUUUCGUAAGUCGUGUGUGAAAGGCGAGGGCUCAACCCGCGGACGGCACAUGAUACUGCGAGACUAGAGUAAUGGAGGGGGAACCGGAAUUCUCGGUGUAGCAGUGAAAUGCGUAGAUAUCGAGAGGAACACUCAUGGCGAAGGCGGGUUCCUGGAAAUUAACUGACGCUGAGGCACGAAGGCCAGGGGAGCGAAAGGGAUUAGAUACCCUAGUAGUC